rnacentral:rRNA from 1 species
CAGAGGGUGCGAGCGUUAAUCGGAAUUACUGGGCGUAAAGCGCGCGUAGGCGGCUUUUCAAGUCGGAUGUGAAAUCCCCGGGCUCAACCUGGGAACUGCAUUCGAGACUGUCUAGCUAGAGUAUGGGAGAGGGAAGUGGAAUUUCAGGUGUAGCGGUGAAAUGCGUAGAUAUCUGAAGGAACAUCAGUGGCGAAAGCGACUUCCUGGACCAAUACUGACGCUCAUGUGCGAAAGCGUGGGGAGCAAACAGGAUUAGAUACCCUGGUAGUCCACGCCAUAAACGAUGAGAACUGGAUGUCGGAGGGGUCUGCCCUUCGGUGUCGUAGCUAACGCGUCAAGUUCUCCGCCUGGGGAGUACGGCCGCAAGGUUG